rnacentral:rRNA from 1 species
UACAGAGGGGGCAAGCGUUAUUCGGAAUUAUUGGGCGUAAAGAGCGCGUAGGCGGUAUUUUAAGUGAGAUGUGCGAUCCCCGAGCUUAACUUGGGAACUGCAUCUCAUACUGGAAUGCUAGAGUGCCGGAGAGGGUGGUAGAAUUCCACGUGUAGCGGUGAAAUGCGUAGAGAUCGGGAGGAACAUCUGUGGCGAAGGCGACUACCUGGACCAGCACUGACACUGAGGCACGAAAGCGUGGGGAGCAAACAGGAUUAGGUACCCUGGUAGUCCAUGCCGUAAACGAUGGAUACUAGGUGUGGGGGGUACUGACCCCCCCCGUGCCGGAGUUAACGCAAUAAGUAUCCCACCUGGGGAGUACGGUCGCAAGAUUGAA